rnacentral:lncRNA from 1 species
CUCCGACUUCGACGGAAUUCUACACCAACAGGUCUCUUUAGGGAUAAGAUAUAAUUUGAAUUAGAUUCAAAUUAGGGCUCUUAUACCUUGACGAUAUGCCUUAUCAGGUUUGUGGGACAAACCUUAAGAAGGGGCAUUGGGAGGGGAGUGAAAGAAAAGAACAACAUCACAAAAAUAAAGAAGGGUUGGCAUGGGAUUUGAUCUUCACGCCAAUCUUCCUCCUCCACGCCUUGUCUCCUU